UCCCUGGUGGCUCAGAUGGUAAAGCGUCUACCUGCAAAGGCAGGAGACCCAGGUUCAAUUCCUGGGUUGGGAA
rnacentral:tRNA from 1 species